rnacentral:snRNA from 1 species
AGAGAAUCGCUUGACCCCGGGAGGCGGAGGUUGCAGUGAGCCAAGGUUGCGCCACUGCAUUCCAGCCUGGGUGACAAAG